AUGGCGGGAUCCCGGUGCACCUGGGGCGCGGAGCAGCUGCGGUUUCUGGAGGCCUUCGGGUGGCUGUGGCAGGUACAGAGCCGCCUGGGCAGUGGCUCCUUGGCCUCGGUGUAUCAGGUGCUGCUGCGGCUGCUGCAACCCCGGCUAGCCCCCCAGCGCUCUCAAGCAGUUCUUGCAGCCGGGAUCCACCAGGGCUGCAGCCUGGGCCGCCCAGUAUGGUUUCCACAAAGAGAUGGCGGCGCUGGAGCAGUUGCAGGGUCACAGGAACAUCGUGACUCGUAUGGAGUCUUUACAAUCCACUUCUCUCCAAAUGUGCCAUCACGAUGUCUGUUGCUUGAACUCCUGGAUGUCAGUGCUUCGGAAUUGCUUUUAUAUUCUAGUCACCAGGGUUGUUCCAUGUGGAUGAUACAGCAUUGUGCCAGAGACGUUCUGGAGGCCCUUGCUUUUCUUCAUCAUGAGGGUUAUGUCCAUGCAGACCUCAAACCACGUAACAUAUUGUGGAGUGCAGAGAAUGAAUGUUUUAAACUCAUUGACUUUGGACUUAGCUUCAAAGAAGGCAAUCAGGAUGAAAAGUAUAUUCAGACAGACAGGUAUCGGGCUCCAGAAGCAGAACUGCAAAAUUGCUUGGCCCAGGCUGGCCUGCAGAGUGAUACAGAAUGUACCUCAGCUGUUGAUCUUUGGAGCCUAGGAAUCAUUUUACUGGAAAUGUUCUCAGGAAUGAAACUGAAACAUACAGUCAGAUCUCAGGAAUGGAAGGCAAACAGUUCUGCUAUUAUCGAUCACAUAUUUGCCAGUAAAGCAGUGGUGAAUGCCGCAAUUCCAGCCUAUCACCUAAGAGACCUUAUGAAAAGCAUGCUUCAUGAUGAUCCAAGCAGAAGAAUUCCUGCUGAAAUGGCAUUGUGCAGCGCAUUCUUUAGCAUUCCUUUUGCCCCUCACAUUGAAGAUCUGGUGAUGCUUCCUACUCCAGUGCUAAGACUGCUGAAUGUGUUGGAUGAUGAUUAUCUGGAGAAUGAAGAAGAAUAUGAAGAUGUUGUACAAGGUGUAAAAGAGGAGUGUCAAAAAUAUGGACCAGUGGUAUCUCUACUUGUUCCAAAGGAAAAUCCUGGCAGAGGACAAGUCUUUGUGGAGUAUGCAAACGCUGGUGAUUCCAAAGCUGCUCAGAAAUUACUAACUGGAAGGAUGUUUGAUGGAAAGUUUGUUGUGGCUACAUUCUACCCACUGAGUGCCUACAAGAGGGGAUAUCUGUAUCAAACCUUGCUUUAAUCAGUAACCGAAGGACUAUUUCCUGUUUCUCCU